GACUCCAAGUCUCCAACCGAUCCGGCGUGCCACCACACGGCAACUACCCCGCAUCAUACACGCAUAGCGUACGCAACCACAGCCCACCGGUACCUCCCCGCCGCCCCACCCAACAGCCGCCAUGGCCUCGGAGGCUCGCAAGACCACCGCCGCAGCGCGCCCUCCUCCCCGCGACUUCCUCGCCCACCUCGAGGCCUACCUGGCCCGCCGCGACGGCGUCGACAAGCUCCUCAAGAUCUCACGCUACGCCGCGCGCCUCGCCCUCGCCGCAGGGCCGCUGCCCCCGCCGGCCUCCGCGCGCCUCAAGUCCUUCGAGUCCAGCCUCGGCCUCAGCCGCAAGGCCUUCCGCCUCGGCAAGUUCGUCCAGGACGUCAACGCCCUCCGCGCGCACCCCGGCCCCCUCCCUCCGCCCUUCGUGCUCCUCGCCUACGGCGGCGAGGGCGUCUACUACUUCAUCGAGCAGUUCGUCUGGCUCGCGAAAGCUGGCCUCCUCCCGGCGCACCUCCUCCCCCGCCUCCAGCGCCUCAGCGCCUGGGCCGAGCUGCUGGGCUACGCCGGCUCCAUCACCAUCAAGCUGGAAGAGGUGACGAAGAUGGAGUCUUCAAUCAAGAUGCGGCUGGCGGAGGGUUGUGGGGAGGAGAACGAGGCGGUGAGGACGAUGCGGGGGAAGCUGCUGCUGAAGCGUCUGUCCGUUGUGCAGGACGUGGCGGAUGCCUUCAUGGCGCUAGGGGACGUGACUAACGGGAAAGGGUUGCUCGGUAGCUCCACGCUGACGGCGUCCGCCGGAUUGCUGUCGGCGCUGAUCAGCACGCACAAGAACUGGAAUUCUUGCUGAAGUCCCAAGGCCUCUUGACCCUCUGCUACCAGGGGCGAGGUGUGAGUGACGUAGGGAGAAGUAGGUACUACGGAGCUGCAAGCAAUUCCGUCUCUUGAUUGAUUGCCAUAUAGGCAUUGGUGUUUAAAUCAACCAACCUGCUGCAUAAGUUUUGCAAACCGCUGUUCCAGCUGGCCAACUUGGGCAUUGUUGGUCCCAAAUGCAGAAAUGCUUGAGAUGCGGCUUUGCUCAAGAUUAUAUGAACUGUUAGAAAUAGUUUCAGAUUGAGAUGAAAGAACCUUACCGCUUUCUUACCCAGUGGAUCUUGAGAACAAAAAACUUGUAGUUAGAUAGAUGGCUGUGAAAGCACGCCGUGUGCCCCAGCUCUAUGUAACACGGUCCUGGAAGGAAAAAACAUUGUUGAGGUGAUCAAUUUUCAGCCCACUGUUGAGGCUUAAAAACAUAUAUAUAGCUGUAAAAGCAUAUUAGUAUUUGCUUAUAUUUUGACAGCAACGCGGUAGGUAUAGGAGAAACAGUUUACUACCUCUCGUGAUGGAUUGCCAUAUAUAUAGUCGUCCCUGUUGAAACCUGUCAACCAGCUGCAGAAUUUUGGCUAUUGGUGGUAGUGUACGCUCUAGAGGCAGGUUACAAGUGGACAACUGGGCGCUGCUGCUAAAUGGUUGGGACGCGGCUGUGAUCAGUGAGUGAGCUAGAUCGUGGACUGCUAUAUUAGUCUUGAAUUGAAUCAAUGAAAGAACAUUACCGCUUUCC